GAUGAACGCUGGCGGCGUGCCUAAUACAUGCAAGUCGAGCGAACAGACGAGAAGCUUGCUCCUCUGACGUUAGCGGCGGACGGGUGAGUAACACGUGGAUAACCUACCUAUAAGACUGGGAUAACUUCGGGAAACCGGAGCUAAUACCGGAUGAUAUUUUGAACCGCAUGGUUCAAUAGUGAAAGACGGUUUUGCUGUCACUUAUAGAUGGAUCCGCGCCGCAUUAGCUAGUUGGUAAGGUAACGGCUUACCAAGGCAACGAUGCGUAGCCGACCUGAGAGGGUGAUCGGCCACACUGGAACUGAGACACGGUCCAGACUCCUACGGGAGGCAGCAGUAGGGAAUCUUCCGCAAUGGGCGAAAGCCUGACGGAGCAACGCCGCGUGAGUGAUGAAGGUCUUCGGAUCGUAAAACUCUGUUAUUAGGGAAGAACAUAUGUGUAAGUAACUAUGCACGUCUUGACGGUACCUAAUCAGAAAGCCACGGCUAACUACGUG
rnacentral:rRNA from 1 species